rnacentral:misc_RNA from 1 species
UCCUGGUUAACCCAGGCAGUCUCAUUAGAGUGCCCACCAUAACGUGAUGGCAACUAAUGACAAGGGUUGCGCUCGUUGCGGGACUUAACCCAACACCUCACGGCACGAGCUGACGACAGCCAUGCAGCACCUGUGUAGCAGCCCUUGCGGGAGGGCGCAUUUCUGCGCCUGUCUACUACAUGUCAAGCCUAGGUAAGGUUCUUCGCGUACCAUCGAAUUAAACCACAUGCUCCACCGCUUGUGCGAGCCCCCGUCAAUUCUUUUGAGUUUCACCCUUGCGAGUGUACUUCCCAGGCGGUAUACUUAUCGCGUUAGCUACGAUACAGACAGGGUUGAGCCUAUCUACAUCAAGUAUACAUCGUUUACAGUGUGGACUAC